UGACUCAAUGCUCCUAUGAUCAGGAAUAUUUAAGAUUAAGAUUUUAGGUCUCACUGGCAUGACCCAUUCAUGUCUCCUAAAACUAUUGCCUUAAUCUUUGGAGUUUAUCAUAAUCUUAGACAUAAUAAGAUGUAGCUAAAAUGAUGAAUUAAUAUCUUAUUUUAUUAUUAAAUAAUAAAUAUCAUUACAUGAGUUAGAAAAUUAUAAAGAAAAAUUCCAUCGCAACAUACUUGCGAUUGGCUUUUAGGACACUCUUCUUUCAAUCUCCCACUUGCACUAAAGCCAAUUGCCUUUGUAUUUCAA
rnacentral:lncRNA from 1 species